CCCGUUACCCCUUAGGACACAGGCUCUCUGGUUUUCUUCCAGCUUUGCAGUCCAUGUAAGCAUUUUGUUAACAGCAGGUCAGCUGUUCCAAAUUCACAGUGGCGAUCAACAUAGACCUCGUUAUUAAGGGUGGAUGAUAUGAACCAGAUGAAUGUCCUUUCUAUUUCUCAUUCUGCCUUUGAUCUGGAAGAGUUUCUUGCUGUAUGGAACCAAUCCUUCACUCAGGCUGACCUUCCCAAGGUCUGGACUUUGGGCAAGGGUGAGAGAGGAAUUUGAACUAUUUUGACGAACGUUCCAGAGUCACAUUUUCCAAUCACCUUAUCAAUAAUAAAGCCGAUAUCUGCCA